GGUGAACGCUGGCGGCGUGCCUAACACAUGCAAGUCGAGCGGGUACCCGCAAGGGUACCAGCGGCGCACGGGUGAGUAACACGUGGGUAAUCUACCCCUCGGAGGGGGAUAACCGGGGGAAACUCCGGCUAAUACCCCAUACGAUCCAACAACACAAGUUGUUGGAUGAAAGGAGCGUUUGCUCCGCUGAGGGAUGAGCCCGCGGCCCAUCAGGUAGUUGGUGGGGUAAUGGCCCACCAAGCCUACGACGGGUAGCCGGCCUGAGAGGGUGGUCGGCCACAAGGGCACUGAGACACGGGCCCUACUCCUACGGGAGGCAGCAGUGGGGAAUCUUGGACAGUGGGCGAAAGCCUGAUCCAGCGACGCCGCGUGGGGGAUGAAGCCCUUCGGGGUGUAAACCCCUGUUGCGAGGGAGGAAUAAGGCCUGGAGGAAAUGCCAGGCCGAUGACUGUACCUCGCGAGGAAGCCCCGGCUAACUACGUGCCAGCAGCCGCGGUAAUACGUAGGGGGCGAGCGUUACCCGGAUUCACUGGGCGUAAAGCGGGUGUAGGCGGCUCGGUAAGUCGGGUGUGAAAUCCCACAGCUCAACUGUGGAAUUGCGCCCGAAACUGCUGAGCUUGGGGCCGGUAGAGGGAGACGGAACUGCCGGUGUAGGGGUGAAAUCCGUAGAUAUCGGCAGGAACGCCGGUGGGGAAGCCGGUCUCCUGGGCCGCGCCCGACGCUGAGACCCGAAAGCUAGGGGAGCAAACC
rnacentral:rRNA from 1 species